rnacentral:lncRNA from 1 species
GGGGCAAGUGUCCUCACUCACAGCAGCAGUCCAGAGGCGCUUCGCUGCUCAAUUUCGAGCAAGGAACUCCGGGUAUCUCCUUUAACCUGUUGGGAAAUCUUUGUUAUUACUCCAUCGAAUGAAUCCUUCUUUGAACGUCAUUGACAGCUGUGACAAAUGAAGGCACGGAUGAUGAAGGUGUUAGUGACACUGACACUAGUGGUGACAUCCAGCACAUUUCAAUCGCGUGAUGUAAGGACGACAGACCACGCCCACUCGCAGGCCCCGCCCCUUUCUCUUCCACCCUCUCAUCUUCCUCCUCAUCCUCCCUCUUCUCAUGUCUCUCUUAUUUCUCCUUUUCCUUCUCAUUCUUCUCAUUCUCCUCCUCCGCUUCAUCAGCAUAAUCCUUUA